rnacentral:rRNA from 1 species
AUUGAACGCUGGCGGCAUGCCUUACACAUGCAAGUCGAACGGCAGCGCGGGAGCAAUCCUGGCGGCGAGUGGCGAACGGGUGAGUAAUAUAACGGAACGUGCCCAGUAGCGGGGGAUAACGCAGCGAAAGCUGUGCUAAUACCGCAUACGCACUACGGUGGAAAGAGGGGGAUCGCAAGACCUCUCACUAGUGGAGCGGCCGAUAUCAGAUUAGCUUGUUGGCGGGGUAAAAGCCCACCAAGGCGACGAUCUGUAGCGGGUUUGAGAGAACGACCAGCCACACUGGGACUGAGACACGGCCCAGACUCCUACGGGAGGCAGCAGUGGGGAAUUUUGGACAAUGGGCGCAAGCCUGAUCCAGCCAUGCCGCGUGCGGGAAGAAGGCCUUCGGGUUGUAAACCGCUUUUGUUCGGGAAGAAAUUGACUGGGCUAAUACCCUGGUCGGAUGACGGUACCGGAAGAAUAAGCACCGGCUAACUACGUGCCAGCCGCCGCCGUAA